CCGGGCACUCUGGAUGGACUGCCGGCGACAAGCCGGAGGAAGGUGGGGAUGACGUCAAGUCAUCAUCGGCCCUUAUGUCCGAGGGCGACACACGUGCUACAAUGGCCGGCACAGGCGGGAAGCGAGGGGGCGACCUUGAGCGGAUCCCUCAAAGCCGGUCUCAGUUCGGAUUGCAGUCUGCAACUCGACUGCAUGAAGUUGGAAUCGCUAGUAAUCGUGGAUCAGCCAAGCCGCGGUGAAUACGUUCCCGGGCCUU
rnacentral:rRNA from 1 species